GACGAACUGUGCAAACGUUAUUCGGAAUCACUGGGCUUAAAGGGCGCGUAGGCUGUGCUGUAAGUCAGGCGUGAAAGCCCCGGGCUCAACCUGGGAAUUGCGCUUGAUACUGCGGCGCUGGAAGGUGGGAGAGGAUGGCGGAAUUCCCAGUGUAGAGGUGAAAUUCGUAGAUAUUGGGAAGAACACCGGUGGCGAAGGCGGCCAUCUGGCCCACAAUUGACGCUGAGGCGCGAAAGCGUGGGGAGCAAACAGG
rnacentral:rRNA from 1 species